rnacentral:rRNA from 1 species
AGUGAACGCUGGCGGCAGGCCUAACACAUGCAAGUCGAGCGGCAGCGGGUCCCCGCGAGGGGGAUGCCGGCGAGCGGCGGACGGGUGAGGAACACAUCGGAAUCUGCCUGGUUGUGGGGGAUAACGUAGGGAAACUUACGCUAAUACCGCAUGCGACCCUGAGUCGACGGACUUGGGGUGAAAGUGAGGGACCUUCGGGCCUCACGCGACCAGAUGAGCCGAUGUCGGAUUAGCUAGUUGGCGGGGUAACGGCCCGCCAAGGCGACGAUCCGUAGCUGGUCUGAGAGGAUGAUCAGCCACACUGGGACUGAGACACGGCCCAGACUCCUACGGGAGGCAGCAGUGGGGAAUAUUGGACAAUGGGCGCAA